rnacentral:rRNA from 3 species
GAGUUUGAUUCUGGCUCAGGAUGAACGCUGACAGAAUGCUUAACACAUGCAAGUCUGGCGAGCGGCGGACGGGUGAGUAACGCGUAAGGAACUUGCCCUGCAGUCAGGGAUAACAGACGGAAACGACUGAUAAGACCUGGUAAAGAAAAUGCUGCAGGAGAGCCUUGCGUCCUAUUAGCUUGUUGGUGGGGUAACGGCCCACCAAGGCGAUGAUAGGUAGCCGGCCUGAGAGGGUGGACGGCCACAAGGGGACUGAGAUACGGCCCUUACUCCUACGGGAGGCAGCAGUGGGGAAUAUUGGACAAUGGGGGCAACCCUGAUCCAGCAAUUCUGUGUGCACGAUGAAGGUUUUCGGAUUGUAAAGUGCUUUCAGCAGGGAAGAUGACGGUACCUGCAGAAGAAGCGACGGCUAACUACGUGCCAGCAGCCGCGGUAAUACGUAUGUCGCAAGCGUUAUCCGGAAUUAUUGGGCAUAAAGGGCAUCUAGGCGGCCAGAUAAGUCUGGGGUGAAAACUUGCGGCUCAACCGCAAGCCUGCCCUGGAAACUAUGUGGCUAGAGUACUGGAGAGGUGGACGGAACUGCACGAGUAGAGGUGAAAUUCGUAGAUAUGUGCAGGAAUGCCGAUGAUGAAGAUAGUUCACUGGACGGACUGACGCUGAAGUGCGAAAGCUAGGGGAGCAAACAGGAUUAGAUACCCUGGUAGUCCUAGCUGUAAACGAUGAUUACUGGGUGUGGGCAUGUCCGUGCCGAAGCUAAUGCGAUAAGUAAUCCGCCUGGGGAGUACGGCCGCAAGGCUGAAACUCAAAGGAAUUGACGGGGACCCGCACAAGCGGUGGAGCAUGUGGUUUAAUUCGACGCAACGCGAGGAACCUUACCAGAUCUUGACAUCGACAGGUGGUGCAUGGCUGUCGACAGCUCGUGUCGUGAGAUGUUGGGUUAAGUCCCGCAACGAGCGCAACCCCUAUUGCUAGUUGCCAUCAUGGGAACUCUAGCAAGACUGCCUGCGAAGAGCAGGAGGAAGGUGGGGAUGACGUCAAGUCAUCAUGCCCCUUAUGAUCUGGGCUACACACGUGCUACAAUGGCUGGCAGAGAGAUGCGACGCAGCAAUGCCAAGCCAACCUCUCCAGUCCAAGUUCGGAUGAAGCCUGCAACUCGGCUUCAGAAGUUGGAAUCGCUAGUAAUCGCGGAUCAGCAAUGCCGCGGUGAAUACGUUCUCGGGCCUUGUACACACCGCCCGUCACACCACGAGAGUUGUCUGCACCUGAAGCUGCCGUCUAAGAAGGCAUCUAAGGUGUGGACAGUGAUUGGGGUGAAGUCGUAACAAGGUAUCCGUACCGGAAGGUGCGGCUG